rnacentral:lncRNA from 1 species
CUUUGAUAUUCUUCAAAAAUCUUACAAGUUGGAACAUGAUUUGCUGACAACUUUCUAUGUUCCUGCCAUAGAUUAUGAUUUAUAUUGUGUUGCUUAACCUGGAUUGAUUUCCCAGACUUCUUCCCACCAUGUGUGGUAGCUGAGAUGCCUCCAAGGAGAGGUCUCCAUGCAGGAAGCCCAGGGCAGCUCUGAGCCCAGCCCUCUCUGGACGGCACUUGCCUCAGCGUGGGAAACAGAUGUGAAUGCUUCCCCACAUCACUUACAUUUAACUUUCUUCCUGUCAAGAAUAUGCUUAAUGGUGGUACUUUGAAGUCAAUAUUGCCCUAUCCUGCAAGACACUUGAUGCUUCAUGAGACAUUUUCAGCAUCCCAAAUAUCAAGUAAGAUGAUUGGGGAAAAGGAUGUACAGGAUGUCCUCGGACCUGGACUGGGGACAGCUGCGUCCUGCAUGCUCCGAGGGAGCAAAAGCUGGUGUGAGAGGUGUGCAAGAUGUGGGCUUGUCAUUGGGGCGGGUUCCCCAGCCUCUCCUUCUGCUGGUAAACCUUGAUGCAGGGGCUGAAGAAGCUCUUGUCAGUCCACUCAGCUCCAAAGCCUGCUGUUGGACAACAAAAUCCAGUGUCACAAGGGCCAGCUGCUAAGGUACACGGGGCAACCAGGGAUGGAGGAGCCCUCUGCGCCUCUCCUGAGCAUUUGCUGCUGCCAACCUGCCUCGGGAUUCUCGCCUGGAUCUCAGCUGGGAUGACUGAAUUUAUGAGUGUGAUGCAAUCCAAACAAAAAAACCAAGCAUUAGAAAUGGAGGCAGAUGAAAUAGAUGAAGUGAUCCAACUGGCAACACGCCGCAGGAAGACAGUGCCGGGUUUCCAGCUCUCACGCUGCCACGCAGUAAAAUAACCAAGUGGCUCCAGGCAUCUCUCCAGCCUGGGAUCUGCUCCUGCCCCAGGAUGGGUUUUUGGAGCAGCCUUUGAGUACGGCCGUCAUGUACAGCUGCAUGAGCAAGACAAGGUAGGAGGUGAACUCAGGUGCCUCAGCUGCUCCCUACUAACUGUAUAUAUGCAUGCUAUUACCCCAUUAAACAUAAAGGAACUGAGUCCUCAUUCCCCGUGGGGUCUGCUCCCUCUCAUUAGCUUACGUUCCCCAACAGUUCAGUUUGCACGCGAACUUUUGCCUUGGAGUAGCUCUAAAUCCAAACCCACUGUUGCCCUGUGUUUGCUCAGGCUGCAAACCUAGCUCUUGCUGUGUGUUUGCAGAAUGGUUGCUACAGUACAAACAAUAAUAAAACAUACAAUGCAUCUCA